GGUAAGUAGUCUUUUUCAGUAUUUAACUUUCUUUUGAUAUGUGCCAUGUAGUUUUCUUUCAGCAAAUAAUACAUUUCGGAACACAUCCAAUGGUUUUGUUUUGUCUAGUAAUUUCCCUCAUGUUUUGGGGUUUUUGGAUUUUUGAUUUACAAGAAAUACAUGAAUUAAUCAAGUUAAAUUGCCAUAAAACAUAUGCAUAUAAAGUAUGGGUGAGAAAUGAAAGUCAGGUAUACACCUUCAGAAAGGGAAUCCAGUUAGAACUGUCAAUUCCAUAAAAAUUCCAUAAACAGGACCCAUGUGAAUUGGCCUCUUUGACCAUAAAAAAUAUCAUUUGAUCAGAUCAUUGAAUCAAUUAUUUCUCUUGUUUCUAUUCCUUUGUUUCUAUUUCUAUUGAAAUAUCUUCAAUUUUUAGUUCUACACACAUGUUUUUUUGGGGUCUACAACCAUUAUGUGGUAUAGGGGUUACAUCCGGCAUGGGAAUUGGUUACUAGAUUUACAGAACCUUUACCCGAUGGGCACUCGACGAAAUUGGGUUUCUUAAUGAAAAAGCAUUUAUAAGUAUAAAUGAGUGAUCUUUUUAAGACCAAAGUUGAAGCUUUUGUAGGUGUUGUGGGACAAUAAUCACAUAAGACUAUCAUUUCAAUCACGAAUUAGUUUAUCUCAAACAAUGAAAAUUGUCCCAACCUAUUGCGGAACCAGUUAGUGCAACCCGAUAAAGGACAAAAUGAUGACACGAUCUAUACCUUGAUGACCAACUACAUCGAAAGUUCUUAUAUAGUUAUCGAAAUCUAAAGUUAUCCCACAUUAAUAGUCAAAACCCAAUGUCAUGGUCAACACAUAAAUUUGUUGAAUCGACACCGGAAAGCAAAACAAUUAGCGUAUGUUAAUUAUUUUAAUUUUUAACACAAUUAUAUACAGAUUAAUUGAAUUUAUGUAUUUUUUCGAAAUGAA